AUCCGGAUGAAGAGUCCCAAAUAGGACGAAAUGUGCAUCCUGGAU
rfam:Trichobilharzia regenti genome assembly, scaffold: TRE_scaffold0022161